GAACGCCUCUAAGUCAGAAUCCGUGCUAGAAACAAUGAUUUUGUCCCAUGCAUCUCAAAACAGUUGUGUUAAAAUAGGGCUUGAAAAAUAGCCCGUGAACCAUCAUUUGUUGGUUAAACUGAUCAAGUGGAAAGACUCGGUUAGUUUUCCAACCUACAUUAUCAAAAAUAUGUGUGGGGGUAAAUCCUUUGCAGACGACUUGAAUCAGAACAGGGUACUGUAAGUGGUAGAGUAGCCUUGUUGCUACGAUCCACUGAGGUUCAGCCCAAGUUCUAAAGAUUUGUUCAACUCCAGUUGGACCAAUCCCUAUCUUUUUUUUACUUUAGGGCUAUUUACUUUAGGGCUAGUCAUCCUGAAAAACUUUCUACUAGUCCCCCUCGCUUUUGUCUCAUCAUCUUCUGCCAUCUCAUCAAAAUCUUCCUUUUCAACUAGUCCCUUAUCAUCUUCCUUCAUCUCGUCAAAAAAAUUCUUACUUUAGGGCUAUUUACUUUAGGGCUAUUUACUUCAGGGCUAUUUACUUCAGGGCUAUUUACUUUAGGGUUAAUUACUUUAGGCCUACCACUACUCAACUUACACUUAAGUACACUUCUGCACUUCCACUGAGCCAAGGACCAUCAUUUGUGUCAAACUUUCAGCAUAAUGCUUCUUACAUCAUAACACAAGGAGAAAGUCCCCUGAAUAUUUUUCUUUCAUAAAAUUAAAAGUAAUAUGGUCAACCCUGAACUUCAAAAAAAGGUUAACACAAUGGGGCUUACUCUGGCUUGCAUCCCCCAAAAACUCCUACUCUUUCAUCUGGGGCCAUACCACAGUCAACCUACCGCAUCCCGUCUGAU
rnacentral:misc_RNA from 1 species